rnacentral:tRNA from 1 species
GUUUUAAUAGUUUAAAUAAAACAAUGAUUUUGUAAAUCAUAAAUAGGGAUUCCUUUAAAACU